rnacentral:rRNA from 1 species
UACGAAGGGGGGCUAGCGUUGCUCGGAAUCACUGGGCGUAAAGCGCACGUAGGCGGACUUUCAAGUCAGGGGUGAAAUCCCGGGGCUCAACCUCGGAAUUGCCUUUGAUACUGUAGGUCUCGAGUCCGGAAGAGGUGGGUGGAAUUCCUAGUGUAGAGGUGAAAUUCGUAGAUAUUAGGAAGAACACCGUGGCGAAGGCGGCCCACUGGUCCGGUAC